rnacentral:rRNA from 1 species
CUGCAGAAGGAUCAUUUGCACAUGUGUAGCCAACUGCAUGCUAAUGAUAUUGUGGGCAACUGUAAGCAUGUAUUGCAAUGGACUUGCACUUGCCCUGGGCAGCAUGAUUUGUUUUUCAAGCAUGUGUGCUGUAGCGUGUGAUGUGUUGUGUAAACUGUUUGCAUUUCUCUAGUUGCUGCAACACUUAUGUUUUGCAAGGAAUGUCUUAGCUCAAUAAAUGAUGAAGAAUGCAGCAACAUGCAAUAUGCAUUGCGAAUUGCAGAAUUCCGUGAGCUAACAGAUGUUUGAAUGUUACUUGUACCUUUGGGAUAUUCUUGAAGGUUUGCUUGGUUUAAUGCAAAGUAGCUUUCAUAUACAUUUAAUGCUGAUUAGCAUUGUUGUGAACAAUAAAGGUCAAUGUUUUGCAUUGAACCUGGAUGUCAUACAGUUGUUUACAACCUAAACAUGGUUUCGUGGGGCAGACCUGUUUCGUCAUUUGAUGGUUGAUAUUUGUAAAUGUGCACAACUGGGACAAGCUGAAGACUUGCAUAUGCUAAGCGUGAAGUGAAGCACAUAAACCUGCUGAAUUUAAGCAUAUAAGUAAGUGUAAAAAAUU